GUCGCGGUGGCAGAGUGGUCGAACGCGUCCGCCUGCAGAGUGGAGUAUCGUCGGUUCGAAUCCGACCCGCGACU
rnacentral:tRNA from 1 species